UCUGGCUGGUGAUGAUCAACCAUAACUGCAACAAUCAUACACGGGGCCCGGCCUGCUAGCUGGAGGCCCCUGCUGACAUCCUACCACCAAGUCUGAGGCCAGA
rnacentral:snoRNA from 1 species